rnacentral:tmRNA from 1 species
GGGGGCGUUUAUGGAUUCGACGGGGGUAGAUCGAGCAUGGGUAGCGGGUAGUGGGGACGCGUCCACUUCAUCAACGCUAAAGCCAAUUAAACGGCAAACAAAACAACAACUUAGCUUUCGCAGCUUAAUAACCUGUGAGCUAGCUCUAUCUCUGCAUCGCCCAUGUGCCGGGAAUAGGGCCCAACUUUAGUGGGAUACGCCGUCUGGUCUCCGCCUGGGGUCAACGGAAGAAGAUAAUCAGGCUGACCCGAAGGGAAUCCGGUGACAGGGAGUCUCUAGGGUGACAUCAAAACUGUCACUACACCCGUAGAAACCUAUGUGGCGUUGCCUUCGGACAGGGGUUCGACUCCCCUCGCCUCCAUAU